UACGUAGGGACCAAGCGUUGUUCGGAUUUACUGGGCGUAAAGGGCGCGUAGGCGGCGCAACAAGUCACUUGUGAAAUCUCCGGGCUUAACCCGGAGCGGUCAAGUGAUACUGUCGUGCUAGAGUGUGGUAGGGGAGAUCGGAAUUCCUGGUGUAGCGGUGAAAUGACGCAGAUAUCAGGAGGAACACCGGUGGCGAAGGCGGAUCUCUGGGCCAUUACUGACGCUGAGGAGCGAAAGCGUGGGGAGCGAACAGG
rnacentral:rRNA from 1 species